rnacentral:rRNA from 1 species
UACGGGGGGAGCAAGCGUUGUUCGGAUUUACUGGGCGUAAAGGGCGCGUAGGCGGCCACCGCAAGUCAAUUGUGAAAUCUCCGGGCUUAACCCGGGAAGGUCAGCCGAUACUGCGGGGCUAGAGUGCAGAAGGGGCAACUGGAAUUCUCGGUGUAGCGGUGAAAUGCGUAGAUAUCGAGAGGAACACCUGCGGCGAAGGCGGGUUGCUGGGCUGACACUGACGCUGAGGCGCGAGAGCUAGGGGAGCGAACGGG